rnacentral:rRNA from 1 species
AACGCGGCAAAAGCUCAAAUUUGAAAUCUGGUACCUUCGGUGCCCGAGUUGUAAUUUGGAGAGGGCAACUUUGGGGCCGUUCCUUGUCUAUGUUCCUUGGAACAGGACGUCAUAGAGGGUGAGAAUCCCGUGUGGCGAGGAGUGCGGUUCUUUGUAAAGUGCCUUCGAAGAGUCGAGUUGUUUGGGAAUGCAGCUCUAAGUGGGUGGUAAAUUCCAUCUAAAGCUAAAUAUUGGCGAGAGACCGAUAGCGAACAAGUACAGUGAUGGAAAGAUGAAAAGAACUUUGAAAAGAGAGUGAAAAAGUACGUGAAAUUGUUGAAAGGGAAGGGCAUUUGAUCAGACAUGGUGUUUUGUGCCCUCUGCUCCUUGUGGGUAGGGGAAUCUCGCAUUUCACUGGGCCAGCAUCAGUUUUGGUGGCAGGAUAAAUCCAUAGGAAUGUAGCUUGCCUCGGUAAGUAUUAUAGCCUGUGGGAAUACUGCCAGCUGGGACUGAGGACUGCGACGUAAGUCAAGGAUGCUGGCAUAAUGGUUAUAUGCCGCCCGUCUUGAA